GUCAGCACCAUGUGACACCAUGCAAAUCUCCCCAUCCCCCUCCGUGGAUUGAAAAGCCGAGCCCUGGCCUGGGGCAGUGACUGUGCCCCACCAUGGACACGCUCUGCUCCACUCUCCUGUUGCUGACCGUCCCUUCCUGGGUUCUGUCCCAGGUCACCCUGCAGGAGUCGGGUCCUGGGCUGGUGAGACCCACCCAGACCCUUAUGCUGACCUGCUCCUUCUCGGGGUUCUCACUGAGCACUAGUGGUAUGGGUGUGGGCUGGGUCCGUCAGCCCCCCGGGAAGGUCCUGGAGUGGUUCGCAGACAUUUGGUGGGAUGAUGAUAAGUAUUACAGCCCAUCUCUGAAGAGCCGGCUCUCGAUCUCCAAGGACACUUCCAGAAACCAGGUGGUCCUAACAAUGACCAGCAUGGACCCUGCAGACACAGCCACGUAUUUCUGGGCACGGAGACUGCAUGGGGGAAAGGAAGGGUCACAGGGAGGUGAGCUGACCACGGGAGAGCCCUUGAGGAGGUCACAGCCAGACCCAGGGGACCACCUCACAGGUGAAUAA